rnacentral:rRNA from 1 species
AGAUACAUAGCAAGUCGAACGGCAGUCGGGCAGCGAUGCUUGAUGAGAGUGCGCGCACGGGUGCGUAACGCGUAUUGCAACCUACCUUUAACAGGGGGAUAGCCCGGAGAAAUUUCGGAUUACUACCCCGUAAUAAUUAUUGGUGGCAUCACUGAUAGUUUAAAGCUAUGGCGGUUAGAGAUGGGCAUGCGUUCCAUUAGCUAGUUGGUGCGGUAACGGCUCACCAAGGCUACGAUGGAUAGGUGGACCUGAGAGGGCGAUCCCCCACACUGGUACUGAGACACGGACCAGACUCCUACCGGGAGGCAGCAGUAAGGAAUAUUGGGCAAUGGCCGCAAUGGCUGACCCAGCCAUGCCGCGUGCAGGAAGACGGCCUUAUGGGUUGUAAACUGCUUUGUUGUCAAGGAUUAGAUCCUUAUACUUAGUAUAAGGUUGAAACGUACCAUGAAGAAUACGCAUCGGCUAUACUCCGUGCCAGCAGCCGCGGUCAUACGGAGGAUGCGAGCGUUAUCCGGAUUCAUUGGGUUUAAACCGUGCGCAGGCGGGCUAAUAAGUCAGGGGUGAAAUUCCACGGCUCAACUGUGGCUCUGCCUUUGAUACUGUUAGUCUUGAGUUUAGUUGAGGUGGGCGGAAUGUAGCAUGUAGCGGUGAAAUUGCAUAGAUAUGCUACAGAACACACGAUAGCGAAGGCAGCUCACCAAGUUAUAACUGACGCUCAUGCACGAAAGCGUGGGGAUCAAACAGGAUUAGAUACCCUGGUAGUACCACGCUGUAAACGAUGAUCACUUCGUUGUUGGCGAUACACAGUCAGCGGCUAAGCGAAAGUGAUAAGUGAUCCACCUGGGGAGUACGAUCGCAGAGGUUGAAACUCAAAGGAAUUGACGCGGGGCCCGCAACAAGCGGUGGAGCAUGUGGUUUAAUUCGAUGAUACGCGAGGAACCUUACCUGGGCUUGAACGCUUGAUGUUAUUGGGAGAAAUCUCAAGUCCCUUCGGGGCGAGUUUGAGCGAGGUGCUGCAUGGUUGUCGUCAGCUCGUGCCGUGAGGUGUCGGGUUAAGUCCCAUAACGAGCGCAACCCUUAUCAUUAGUUGCCAUCAGGUAAAGCUGGGGACUCUACGUGAAACUGCCUACGCAAGUAGAGAGGAAGCUGGGGAUGACGUCAAAUCAGCACGGCCCUUACGUCCAAGGGCUACACACGUGCUACAAUGGCCGGUACAGAGGGCAGCCACCUGGUGACAGGGAGCGAAUCUCGAAAGCCGGUCUCAGUUCGGAUCGAAGUCUGCAACCCGACUUCGGUGAAGCUGGAAUCGCUAGUAAUCGCGCAUCAGCCAUGGCGCGGUGAAUACGUUUCCCGGGCCCUUGUACACACCGCCCGUCUAAGCCAUGGGAGCCGGGGGUACCUAGAAGUC